UGUAGUUGCAAUUGCAAUGUUCUGAUCUUUGAUCAAUUAAAAAAAAAAAAAAGUUCGCUGGAGUCGAGUUAUUUCAGUUCUACGACGUGAAGAGAACGGAGUAAACAACCGAACUUUUUAAAGCGAAAUUGAUGGAGAUGCAUAUAUCCAUCUGGAAUGCUGGCUCUCCAUCAAUGAAGGAAUGCAACACGUGCUGCCAACGCUUAUUCCACUGCCCGCUGAGCCCAAACUUCGAACCAUCAAAGUUUGCUUCUACCUGACCGCUUCCUGCAUGUUAGCUGAGACAAUCCUCUUGUCAGGGCAGAUACCUACCUCCACCACUUUAAGAGCAAAUCACCAAAAACUCUGUGUAGUCAGGUAAAUUAAUCCAACGUUUGUUUUACUCUGUUCUUGCAAAGCUUGACAAUCCUCUUUAAUAUUAUCUAAAUGUAAAGCACUUGUGACCAGGGUUUUGAAAAGUGCAAUACAAAA